AUCGUUCACUAUAUCCCUCUAGCACGUUGGACUUCUAAUCCAAAGGUCGUGGGUUCGAAUCCCACCUGGGAUA